ensembl:snRNA U7 U7 small nuclear RNA
AAGUUUUGCUCUUUUAUAAUUUUCUAGCAGGAGUUCUAUAAUAGAGCUCCCCC